GGUUAAGCGACUAAGCGUACACGGUGGAUGCCCUGGCAGUCAGAGGCGAUGAAGGACGUGUUAAUCUGCGAUAAGCGUCGGUAAGGUGAUAUGAACCGUUAUAACCGGCGAUUUCCGAAUGGGGAAACCCAGUGUGUUUCGACACACUAUCAUUAACUGAAUCCAUAGGUUAAUGAGGCGAACCGGGGGAACUGAAACAUCUAAGUACCCCGAGGAAAAGAAAUCAACCGAGAUUCCCCCAGUAGCGGCGAGCGAACGGGGAGCAGCCCAGAGCCUGAAUCAGUAUGUGUGUUAGUGGAAGCGUCUGGAAAGGCGCGCGAUACAGGGUGACAGCCCCGUACACAAAAAUGCACAUGCUGUGAGCUCGAUGAGUAGGGCGGGACACGUGGUAUCCUGUCUGAAUAUGGGGGGACCAUCCUCCAAGGCUAAAUACUCCUGACUGACCGAUAGUGAACCAGUACCGUGAGGGAAAGGCGAAAAGAACCCCGGCGAGGGGAGUGAAAAAGAACCUGAAACCGUGUACGUACAAGCAGUGGGAGCACGCUUAGGCGUGUGACUGCGUACCUUUUGUAUAAUGGGUCAGCGACUUAUAUUCUGUAGCAAGGUUAACCGAAUAGGGGAGCCGAAGGGAAACCGAGUCUUAACUGGGCGUUAAGUUGCAGGGUAUAGACCCGAAACCCGGUGAUCUAGCCAUGGGCAGGUUGAAGGUUGGGUAACACUAACUGGAGGACCGAACCGACUAAUGUUGAAAAAUUAGCGGAUGACUUGUGGCUGGGGGUGAAAGGCCAAUCAAACCGGGAGAUAGCUGGUUCUCCCCGAAAGCUAUUUAGGUAGCGCCUCGUGAAUUCAUCUCCGGGGGUAGAGCACUGUUUCGGCAAGGGGGUCAUCCCGACUUACCAACCCGAUGCAAACUGCGAAUACCGGAGAAUGUUAUCACGGGAGACACACGGCGGGUGCUAACGUCCGUCGUGAAGAGGGAAACAACCCAGACCGCCAGCUAAGGUCCCAAAGUCAUGGUUAAGUGGGAAACGAUGUGGGAAGGCCCAGACAGCCAGGAUGUUGGCUUAGAAGCAGCCAUCAUUUAAAGAAAGCGUAAUAGCUCACUGGUCGAGUCGGCCUGCGCGGAAGAUGUAACGGGGCUAAACCAUGCACCGAAGCUGCGGCAGCGACACUAUGUGUUGUUGGGUAGGGGAGCGUUCUGUAAGCCUGUGAAGGUGUGCUGUGAGGCAUGCUGGAGGUAUCAGAAGUGCGAAUGCUGACAUAAGUAACGAUAAAGCGGGUGAAAAGCCCGCUCGCCGGAAGACCAAGGGUUCCUGUCCAACGUUAAUCGGGGCAGGGUGAGUCGACCCCUAAGGCGAGGCCGAAAGGCGUAGUCGAUGGGAAACAGGUUAAUAUUCCUGUACUUGGUGUUACUGCGAAGGGGGGACGGAGAAGGCUAUGUUGGCCGGGCGACGGUUGUCCCGGUUUAAGCGUGUAGGCUGGUUUUCCAGGCAAAUCCGGAAAAUCAAGGCUGAGGCGUGAUGACGAGGCACUACGGUGCUGAAGCAACAAAUGCCCUGCUUCCAGGAAAAGCCUCUAAGCAUCAGGUAACAUCAAAUCGUACCCCAAACCGACACAGGUGGUCAGGUAGAGAAUACCAAGGCGCUUGAGAGAACUCGGGUGAAGGAACUAGGCAAAAUGGUGCCGUAACUUCGGGAGAAGGCACGCUGAUAUGUAGGUGAAGUCCCUCGCGGAUGGAGCUGAAAUCAGUCGAAGAUACCAGCUGGCUGCAACUGUUUAUUAAAAACACAGCACUGUGCAAACACGAAAGUGGACGUAUACGGUGUGACGCCUGCCCGGUGCCGGAAGGUUAAUUGAUGGGGUUAGCCGCAAGGCGAAGCUCUUGAUCGAAGCCCCGGUAAACGGCGGCCGUAACUAUAACGGUCCUAAGGUAGCGAAAUUCCUUGUCGGGUAAGUUCCGACCUGCACGAAUGGCGUAAUGAUGGCCAGGCUGUCUCCACCCGAGACUCAGUGAAAUUGAACUCGCUGUGAAGAUGCAGUGUACCCGCGGCAAGACGGAAAGACCCCGUGAACCUUUACUAUAGCUUGACACUGAACAUUGAGCCUUGAUGUGUAGGAUAGGUGGGAGGCUUUGAAGUGUGGACGCCAGUCUGCAUGGAGCCGACCUUGAAAUACCACCCUUUAAUGUUUGAUGUUCUAACGUUGACCCGUAAUCCGGGUUGCGGACAGUGUCUGGUGGGUAGUUUGACUGGGGCGGUCUCCUCCUAAAGAGUAACGGAGGAGCACGAAGGUUGGCUAAUCCUGGUCGGACAUCAGGAGGUUAGUGCAAUGGCAUAAGCCAGCUUGACUGCGAGCGUGACGGCGCGAGCAGGUGCGAAAGCAGGUCAUAGUGAUCCGGUGGUUCUGAAUGGAAGGGCCAUCGCUCAACGGAUAAAAGGUACUCCGGGGAUAACAGGCUGAUACCGCCCAAGAGUUCAUAUCGACGGCGGUGUUUGGCACCUCGAUGUCGGCUCAUCACAUCCUGGGGCUGAAGUAGGUCCCAAGGGUAUGGCUGUUCGCCAUUUAAAGUGGUACGCGAGCUGGGUUUAGAACGUCGUGAGACAGUUCGGUCCCUAUCUGCCGUGGGCGCUGGAGAACUGAGGGGGGCUGCUCCUAGUACGAGAGGACCGGAGUGGACGCAUCACUGGUGUUCGGGUUGUCAUGCCAAUGGCACUGCCCGGUAGCUAAAUGCGGAAGAGAUAAGUGCUGAAAGCAUCUAAGCACGAAACUUGCCCCGAGAUGAGUUCUCCCUGACUCCUUGAGAGUCCUGAAGGAACGUUGAAGACGACGACGUUGAUAGGCCGGGUGUGUAAGCGCAGCGAUGCGUUGAGCUAACCGGUACUAAUGAACCGUGAGGCUUAACCUU
rnacentral:rRNA from 1 species